CACGGAGGGGGUUAGCGUUGUUCGGAAUUACUGGGCGUAAAGCGCGCGUAGGCGGACUAUUAAGUCAGAGGUGAAAUCCCGGGGCUCAACCCCGGAACUGCCUUUGAUACUGGUAGUCUUGAGUUCGAGAGAGGUAAGUGGAAUUCCGGAGUGUAGAGGUGAAAUUCGUAGAUAUUCGGAGGAGCACCAGUGGCGAAGGCGGCUUACUGGCUCGAUACUGACGCUGAGUGACGAAAGUGGUGGGGAGCAAACAGGAUUAGAUACCCGCGUAGUCC
rnacentral:rRNA from 1 species